CCUACGGGUGGCUGCAGUGGGGAAUCUUGCGCAAUGGACGAAAGUCUGACGCAGCGACGCCGCGUGGGUGACGAAGGCCUUCGGGUUGUAAAGCCCUGUGGGCGGGAACGAACCGGUCGGGAGUGAACAUCUCCCGGCCUUGACGGUACCCGUUUAGCAAGCAUCGGCUAACUCUGUGCCAGCAGCCGCGGUAAGACAGAGGAUGCGAACGUUGCUCGGAAGUACUGGGCGUAAAGCGCGCGCAGGCGGUGAAAGCCCGGGGCUCAACCUCGGAAGUGCACCGGAUACUGCGGAACUGGGGUCUUGAAGAGGAGAGCGGAAUUCCCGGUGUAGAGGUGAAAUUCGUAGAUAUCGGGAGGAACACCAGUGGCGAAAGCGGCUCUCUGGGCAAUGACCGACGCUGAGGCGCGAAGGCGUGGGAAGCAAACAGGAUUAGAUACCCGAGUAGUC
rnacentral:rRNA from 1 species